rnacentral:rRNA from 1 species
UACGUAGGGUGCGAGCGUUGUCCGGAAUUACUGGGCGUAAAGAGCUCGUAGGUGGUUUGUCGCGUUGUUCGUGAAAACUCACAGCUUAACUGUGGGCGUGCGGGCGAUACGGGCAGACUGGAGUACUGCAGGGGAGACUGGAAUUCCUGGUGUAGCGGUGAAAUGCGUAGAGGUCGGGAAGAACGCCGGCGGCGAAAGCGACUCUCUGGUCGGACCCUGACGCUGAGGCGCGAAAGCUAGGGGAGCAAACGGG